rnacentral:rRNA from 1 species
GACGAACGCUGGCGGCGUGCUUAACACAUGCAAGUCGAACGGUAAGGCCCUUCGGGGUACACGAGUGGCGAACGGGUGAGUAACACGUGGGUGAUCUGCCCUGCACUUCGGGAUAAGCCUGGGAAACUGGGUCUAAUACCGGAUAGGACCACUGCCUGCAUGGGUGGUGGAGGAAAGCUUUUGCGGUGUGGGAUGGGCCCGCGUCCUAUCAGCUUGUUGGUGGGGUGAUGGCCUACCAAGGCGACGACGGGUAGCCGGCCUGAGAGGGUGACCGGCCACACUGGACUGAGAUACGGCACCGACUCCUACGGGAGGCAGCAGUGGGGAAUAUUGCACAAUGGGCGCAAGCCUGAUGCAGCGACGCCGCGUGAGGGAUGACGGCCUUCGGGUUGUAAACCUCUUGCAGCACCGACGAAGCGCAAGUGACGGUAGGUGCAGAAGAAGGACCGGCCAACUACGUGCCAGCCGCCGCCGUAA